AUUAAAAUUUAAAAUAACUCUUCAUUUGAUCAUUUCUAUUUAAUCAUGUUACAACAACUAUUGUUUUGCAUAACCAAGUUAUGCUUCAUACUAAACACCCUUUUGAACAUAAACAACCCUAUUACAUCAACCCAAAAACUCAGAAACCAAAAAGAUCAGUUUUCAAAUUCUGGGGGCCAGCUCAGCUGCGCUGAUCUUGACUUGAGAGGUGGUGCAGCUCGCCACUUCGGUUUCAGACCAAUUAGUGCUCUGCUUCAGUAGAACCCAGAAUAUAAUUUGCCCAUCUUGCUAUCAUGCCUUAUAUUUGCUUCAUAAGGAUCUCAAAUCACUAGGAACAUAUUGAACUUCUAUCAAUAACCUCAUACAUCAAUCAAGUCUUUUUGAUUUCCAAGAUUUUAGACAUAGAUUUUUAUUAAAACAUUUUCUAAAACAUGAUAUGAGCAUAGCUUUGGAUACCCAAAUUAUGUAUAGUUUCAAGUAUGUAUUAAUUCCAUAUUUCAUUUAGAAAUCAUUACAAAUAACACAACCAAUCUUUAUAUAUCAAUUACUUUUUCAGUACUAAUACCAACUGUAAUAAUAUAGCAAAACAUAUUUCCAGUAAAUUCUAAUUUUCAUGAUUCUAACUAAUUAGAUGAAUAAAGAUAUAGAUUUAAACAAUACCUCUCAUGAUUUUAAGUUCUUGCUUAGAUACUUGAUUAUUCUUGUUUCCUUACUCCAAUUCAAUAUAUUAUCCCCAACUGUUUGAGUAUUGACAGAGCUUAUAAGAAUAGGAGAAUUAGAAGUCUUCCUCUAGAAUGAAGAAACUGGAAUAAGAAAGCUGGGGACUUGAUUUUAUAGGAAAUUGAUUUCUUACCCAGUCUAAGAUUGUGGUAGAACUCUAGCUCUUGCUCCCAUAUUAUGACCCAGCAUUAUUAACCCACCUCAUGCUCCCAUAUUAAGACUCAGAAUUAUUAACCCACCUCAUGCU
rnacentral:lncRNA from 1 species